rnacentral:ncRNA from 3 species
UUCACAGUGGCUAAGUUCCGU